rnacentral:lncRNA from 1 species
UCAUAUAACUCUAGAGCCUUUGUAAGAAUGGGUUAUGUGUGUGUGAAGGGUUUAUGGGUCAAGAAAUAGGAGAGUGAUAUCAAAACUGCCCAUCCAGACUCCAAGCCCAAACCUUCUGCUUCUUAUCCUAGCCCUAUUGGAUCUGACCUAUCUGAAAAAAUUAGCGCCAUUAGGAAAGCGCUCUCUACAAUCAAGGAUAUCCUCAUUACCACCUAGUCCACCGUUGGUACCAUUCAUGCUAUCUCCAAGGAAACAGGGUCUGAUGUCUCCAAGAUUCGGGUUACAGUUCUCAAAGUUAG